CAGUCGAGCGAACUGAUGAAGAGCUUGCUUUUGAUCAGUUAGCGGCGGACGGGUGAGUAACACGUGGGUAACCUGCCUGUAAGACUAGGAUAACUCCGGGAAACCGGGGCUAAUACUGGAUAACUUUUCUCUCCGCAUGGAGGGAGAUUGAAAGAUGGCUUCGGCUAUCACUUACAGAUGGACCCGCGGCGCAUUAGCUAGUUGGUGAGGUAACGGCUCACCAAGGCAACGAUGCGUAGCCGACCUGAGAGGGUGAUCGGCCACAUUGGGACUGAGACACGGCCCAAACUCCUACGGGAGGCAGCAGUAGGGAAUCUUCCGCAAUGGACGAAAGUCUGACGGAGCAACGCCGCGUGAGUGAAGAAGGUCUUCGGAUCGUAAAACUCUGUUGUUAGGGAAGAACAAGUAUCGUUCGAAUAGGGCGGUACCUUGACGGUACCUAACCAGAAAGCCACGGCUAACUACGUGCCAGCAGCCGCGGUAAUACGUAGGUGGCAAGCGUUGUCCGGAAUUAUUGGGCGUAAAGCGCGCGCAGGCGGUCUUUUAAGUCUGAUGUGAAAGCCCACGGCUCAACCGUGGAGGGUCAUUGGAAACUGGAAGACUUGAGUGCAGAAGAGGAGAGUGGAAUUCCACGUGUAGCGGUGAAAUGCGUAGAGAUGUGGAGGAACACCAGUGGCGAAGGCGACUCUCUGGUCUGUAACUGACGCUGA
rnacentral:rRNA from 1 species